GGGCUGCCUCUUUGCAAUAUAUUUCAUGCAAAGAAGGUGUUGAACUGCUCGUAUAUUGAAUUUGCUUUGGUUAUUUGGACCCGCUGAGAGACUGAUUUCCUUGAAGCUGGUCUAGUAAGCCUUAGUGUAUA